rnacentral:sRNA from 1 species
UAACUUGAAAUUGGAUGAGAAUAUUGUAUUUCAGGGACCUUUGUCAUUCAUGGAUGUGUUUGUGGAUUUUACCUGGGAGGAGUGGCAGCUGCUAGACCCAGCACAGAAGUGCCUGUACAGGAGUGUGAUGUUGGAGAACUAUAGCAACCUGGUGUCCCUAGGUAAGUGCUGCCUCCCUGAGGAGGAGUGUGCUCGAUCUCCAGGCUUCUUCUUGGUUGCUGAAAACUGGAGGCCUUCUGUGAAAUACUUAGUGAUUUUGGACUUAGAUUUUAAGGCCAGAUUUUCUUAGUUCCCUAUUGGCAGCAGAGUAUGCCAGUUGAAUGGUCUUUACUUUGCCAAAUUGCAAAAAGGCAGCUUCAUCAUGCUACCUCCAAACUAAAUCUUUCCCGUUCUUCAGAAUCUCUGAAUCUCAAGCUGUUUGUUCCAGGUUGUCUGUGAUUUUCUAUUUAUAGGGUACCAACACACCAAACCUGAUAUCAUCUUCAAGUUGGAACAAGGAGAAGAGCUGUGUAUGGUGCAGGCCCAAGUUCCAAAUCAGACCUGUCCAAACACAGUCUGGAAAAUUGAUGAUCUU